CUCGGGCCGUUAUGGGGCAGGUACCUACGUGUUACUCACCCGUCCGCCACUCGUUGGCGACCAAAAUCUAUCAGGUGCAAGCACCAUCAAUCAAUUGGGCCAACGCGUUCGACUUGCAUGUAUUAGGCACACCGCCGGCGUUCAUCCUGAGCCAUGAAUCAAACUCAAGA
rnacentral:rRNA from 1 species